rnacentral:rRNA from 1 species
GAUGAACGCUGGCGGCGUGCCUAAUACAUGCAAGUCGAGCGAAGCGGGGACGGGUGAGGAACACGUGGAUAACCUCCUAUAAGACUGAGAAAUCUUCGGGAAACCUGAGCUAAACAAGAUACAUAUCGAUGUAUCCGCGGUGCUGUGGCUAGUGGGUAAGGUAACGGCUUACCAAGGCAACGAUGCAUAGCCGACCUGCGAGGGUGAGCUGCCACACUGGAACUGAGACACGGUCCAUACUCCUACGGUAGGCAGCAGUGGGGAAUCUUCCGCAAUGGGCGAAAGCCUGACGGAGCAAUGCCGCGUUAAUGAUGAAGGUCUUCGGAUCGUAAAACUCUGUUAUUAGGGAGGCGGUACCUAAACAGAAAGCCCCGGCUAACUCCGUGCCAGCAGCCGCGGUAAUUC